rnacentral:lncRNA from 1 species
CUGCUAGGAUUAAAGGUGUGUGCCUGGCUUCUAUGGCUUGUGGCUGACUUUGCUUUCUGAAUCAUCAGGAAAGCUUUAAUAAAUCAUAAAUAAUAUAUCAUGACACAAGAUAAGAUUUUGUUUGGAUUCCAGCAGAGGUUUAUUUUCAUUGGUGGUCUUGCAAUAGAUGGGCCAUGAUGGGUGGAUGUCUGUGAGUGAAGUUGAAAAAUAUGUGAGAAAAUCCAAGGAAGAAACAAAGACUCAGAAAACAAAUGUGACUGUUGGGUCAUGGUCCAAGAAAGGAGUACCCCGCAGAGACUUCUGAGUUCCUGUGAGAAAACUCCAAGAAAGCAAGAUUGGAUGGACCCAUCUUCUUUUCUCUUUACUUAUGACUCUGUGUUUAUGACUGGACCUUGGGACUGUAAUAGACUCAAUCAUUCAUCUGAAGAAGGAACUGCAUUUAAUUUUUCCUUGGGGUUUGUAUCACUUACUAAUUGCAUAGGAUAUUAUAACUGUUGUGUUCUAUGAAAGGGCAAAUAUGGGCUUAUGUUCUAGAUUUUUCUGAUCAAUAUAAUAAUGUACUGGACUUAUGGGGGUUGUCCACUGUUACAGUUUCACUGGCAAGACGCCACUACACUGGACAAAGUUUGGAUCCCUGUUCUUGGUGGCAGAUUAUUACACAAAAUGCUCUUACUGAUUUAAGAUUAUCCAUUUUGUUUAUAAUUUGCUUACUUACAGGAUGUUCAUGUAUAAAGUGACAAUUAGAUUUAUCUGCAACAUCUUAAAUCAAAACCACUCUAGAUAUCCUACAUUUAAAACAUAAAAGGGGGCAUGUCAGAACCCAGUCCAAGAAUGGAGUCAUGUCCUUGUGAGAAAACUACGAAACCAAGACAAUAGUUGUGUGACCCCCGUUUCUUAAAAUAUAUAGAACUGUUUUUGGGUUAUGCUUUCAUGUCCCUCCUGGGUAUAGAGGAUAGGACUGAGUUUACUUCAGAUGCUUCGUUACAACUGGCUAUUGUUAUUGUUUAUAUGCCCCUAUGGAAAACAUGUUUUUGCCACACGUUGCUGGUCCUUGUGAUUGUACACUGUACUCAGGUGACUGUUCUUAACCCUCAGGGGAUCAGUAGUCUAAUGCUCUGAAUGAAGUUGGCUAUUGUUGAGACUGUAGUCUGCUUUAUUUAUUGACUGCAUUCUCCCAGGUCCCACUGCUCCCACAGCACACAGCAGCUGUAUAGACAUUGUUGGUUGAUGUUUUUAUAAAUCAAAUGCUAAUUUUAAAUAGACUGAUAGAUAGAACUCAUUUUGCAUGUGUGCAAAUAUAAUGAUAAUAAAUCUUACUCUGUGCUCA